GGUUGAAGUUUAGUGGCAAUGUGGGAUGGUUGCCAUCCGCUAUUGCUUGCAAUGGCAAAUCUAGUUAUGGCACCCUCAACGGAUUGGGGUGACAUAUUGUUAUUGUUCGUUUCUUUUUUUCUUAUUAUUUUUAUUCUUCCACACUUUUUGUCCACGGCAGUUCUCGUUAUUGGAUGGAUCAAUCUUGGUGAAACUAUGCUAUAAUGUUGACCACCUUAUGAAGUUGUGCACCUGACUUUGGAAUGUGCAAGAUGGCCACGGUUACCAUGGAAAC